rnacentral:rRNA from 1 species
GACGAACGCUGGCGGCGUGCUUAACACAUGCAAGUCGAACGGUAAGGCCCUUCGGGGUACACGAGUGGCGAACGGGUGAGUAACACGUGGGUGAUCUGCCCUGCACUUCGGGAUAAGCCUGGGAAACUGGGUCUAAUACCGGAUAGGACCACUGCCUGCAUGGGUGGUGGUGGAAAGCUUUUGCGGUGUGGGAUGGGCCCGCGGCCUAUCAGCUCGUUGGUGGAGUGAUGGCCUACCAAGGCGACGACGGGUAGCCGGCCUGAGAGGGUGACCGGCCACACUGGGACUGAGAUACGGCCCAGACUCCUACGGGAGGCAGCAGUGGGGAAUAUUGCACAAUGGGCGCAAGCCUGAUGCAGCGACGCCGCGUGAGGGAAGACGGCCUUCGGGUUGUAAACCUCUUUCAGCACCGACGAAGCGCAAGUGACGGUAGGUGCAGAAGAAGGACCGGCCAACUACGUGCCAGCCGCCGCAGUAA